CGGGGGCCUGCAGUCGACGAUUAGCAGUGGGGAAUUUUGCGCAAUGGGGGAAACCCUGACGCAGCGACGCCGCGUGGAGGAUGAAGGUUUUCGGAUUGUAAACUCCUUUUGUAGGGGAAAAUAGUGAUGGUACCCUACGAAUAAGCCACGGCUAACUCUGUGCCAGCAGCCGCGGUAAGACAGAGGUGGCAAGCGUUGUUCGGAAUUACUGGGCUUAAAGGGCGCGUAGGUGUCCUGGCAAGUCAGAUGUGGAAGCUUCUUGCUUAACGGGAAAAUGGCAUUUGAAACUGCCGGGAUUGAGUCAGACAGGGGAUGGCGGAAUUCCUGGUGUAGCGGUGAAAUGCGUAGAUAUCAGGAGGAAGGCCGGUGGCGAAGGCGGCCAUCUGGGUCUGAACUGACACUGAGGCGCGAAAGCUAGGGGAGCAAACAGGAUUAGAUACCCUGGUAGUCCUAGCCGUAAACGUUGGGCACUAGGUGUGGCGGAUUCAUUGACAUCUGCCGUGCCGUAGCUAACGCAUUAAGUGCCCCGCCUGGGGAGUACGGUCGCAAGGCUAAAACUCAAAGGAAUUGACGG
rnacentral:rRNA from 1 species